GGACGAACGCUGGCGGCACGCUUAACACAUGCAAGUCGAACGGAGUUUAGAGAGCUUGCUUUUAAAACUUAGUGGCGGACGGGUGAGUAACACGUGAGCAAUCUGCCUUCAGAGGGGGAUAGCAGUUGGAAACGACUGAUAAUACCGCAUAAUAUAGUAGGAUCGCAUGAUUUAACUAUCAAAGAUUUAUCGCUGAAAGAUGAGCUCGCGUCUGAUUAGAUAGUUGGUGAGGUAACGGCUCACCAAGUCGACGAUCAGUAGCCGGACUGAGAGGUUGAACGGCCACAUUGGGACUGAGACACGGCCCAGACUCCUACGGGAGGCAGCAGUGGGGAAUACUGCACAAUGGGCGCAAGCCUGAUGCAGCGAUGCCGCGUGAGGGAAGAAGGUUUUAGGAUUGUAAACCUCUGUCUUCAGGGACGAUAAUGACGGUACCUGAGGAGGAAGCUCCGGCUAACUACGUGCCAGCAGCUGC
rnacentral:rRNA from 1 species